AUGUGGGAUAAGAAGAAUAGAAGGAUUCCGAAGCAUGUUCGAAAUGGGAGCUGAAGCCGUGUGCAUGGCCCGGGUCCCUCGUGGAUGUGGAACGAGGAGAAGAGAAGGAUUCCGAAGCAAGGGGCGUGGACGUGAGAGUUGAUGAGUGAUGGUGAGGAGUUGAUAAGUGAUGGCCCGGAUCUCACGAUGGGAGGGGAAGAAGUAUUUAAUUCUGUGGAAUGUCUUGGGUUUGGGGACGUGAAGUAAGAGUUUGGUUUUUAUUCAUCUAUCCUCUGUGAUAUAUGGGUUUCUCUCACCCAAAGUAGAGACCUU
rnacentral:lncRNA from 1 species